rnacentral:lncRNA from 1 species
UAAAACAGAAGACAAAUCUCUGUCACCCGUCAUUCUUACUCUUAGACUAAGACAGAAGAUGUUCUAUCAUAUCCAGAGAGAGUUCACAACCUUUUUCAGAGUUUAAUCAGCUUGUCUUUCAAGGGUGGCAGGGAACUUGACUAAAUAGCUUCAUCCACUUUGGGAGGCUGAGGAAGGAGGACUGCUUGAGGCCAGGAGUUCAAGACCAGCUCAUCAACAUAGCAAGACCCCAUCUCUACAAAAAAAAAAAAAAAAAAAAAAGUUGGUCGAGGUGGGUGGAUCACGAGGUCAGAGGAUUGAGACCAUCCUGGUUAACACGGUGAAACCCUGUCUCUACUAAAAAUACAAAAAAUUAGCCGGGCGUAGUGGCAGGCGCCUGUAGUCCCAUGGAGGGGACAAAUAUCCAAACCAUAUCAGUGAGCUAGG